ensembl:miRNA
AGAGGAGCUGGACAAGUACUGGUCUCAGCAGAUUGAGGAGAGGACCACAGUGGUCACCACAGUCCGCCGAGGUUGGAGCUGCUGAGACGAC